rnacentral:lncRNA from 1 species
UCCUCGAAUUCCCACCCAAUAUCAAAGCCAAUCACUGAUUGCGUUUGAAGAUGGAAGCCCUUGUGGCAUCAACAAACAGGAGCUUGAGUGGGUCACGCCAGUUCUUUGUUGAAAAGGAAACAAAUCCAUAAAAGAACAUGCUGUUCUUUAAAAGUUGUAUUUUAACUUAAGGAUAAACUGUGGGAUUAAUAUUUUGACCUAACUUGCGUUCUGAGGUUUGGUUGGGUUAUUUUUCUUUUUUUUAAGACCUAAUGAUUAAGACAGACUCCAGUGUUAUGGCCUAUCUGUGAAGUGUCACCCACACGUCUCAUAAACACACAGCCUUUACCAGCAUAUCCUGUUCUAGGUUUCACAGAAACUCACUUAACUCUCAUGGCAACACUUCAAGGCAGCCAGGCAAGUGUUAGUACUCCCAUUUUAUGGUUGAGGAAAUUAAGGCCCUCAAAGAGUUAAGGUUUAAACCUAUGUCUUUCCACUACAGCUUAUAUAUGAAGAGCCCUGUCAAUUUUCCCACCGCUGUGCAUCAUGGAUACCAAACAGCCACACACAGAAAAGAGAGGUGCAACUGCUGAGAGGAAGCAUCCUAAGGAAAUCUGAUUAGUGAAGAUCGGAAAAGUCAUCCUUGAGGAGGUGAUGAAGCCAGGUCCUGAAGACUGGGUAGGAGUUAAACUGGUGACUAUAUAUCCAAAAAACUAAAUCCAGGAAACUCAACAGGUAAUGACUCAAUACUAAUCUUUUAAUUGACUGACUAAGGAAACUAUAUAAAAUUUUGUGUGUGUGUGUGCUUUUCAGGGCUACACCCACGGCAAAUGGAGGCUCCCAGGCUAAGGGGUUGAAUCGGAGCUAAAGCCACCAGCCUACGCCACAGCCACAACAAUGAGGGAUCAGAGCCAUGUCUGCAACCUACACCACAGCCCAUGGUAAUGCCGGAUCCUUAACCCACUGAACGAGGCCAGGGAUCGAACCUGCAACCUCAUGGUUCCUCGUCGGAUUUGUUUCUGCUGGGCCACAAUGGGAACUCCAUAAAUGUUUUUAAAGACCAAGUUACAAAUGUGCCCCUCAAGAGAAACCACUGUUUGGAGUCCCAACAAGCAUGACACUGACUGAAGUGUCCCAUCAUGGCUCCCUUUGGAAAGACCCAGGCCACCUAAAGGGAAUGAUAAGAUCAACAAUAAAAUCUUUUUAAUUAUCGCUAUUUUCCUGGUU